CUCUUAGGCAACAUUCCUUAUUAGUGGACUCCAGUACCAAAACAUUUUACAGUACACACAGUGAGCCCCCCAACUCAUCUGCAACAUGCCUUAAAUGCUAACCCUGAUUCAUGGUUUGUGGUUUUGUCUGGCCAUAUAAACAUUUUGGACAGACAAGCUUAACUACUAAUCAUAUAACCCAUUUUGUCCAAAGGGUAGAAAUGUUUAGAAUCCAUUUCCUAGGAAACAAUCCACAGAAACUCAUAAGGUGUAGCUAGUAUACCCAUAGUCACAGAUCUGAUCAGCAAUCUAUAAAGUUUUCCCGCAGUUGCAAAUUAGUUGAC